ACCCUGAGGGGGGAAAGGGUUUAUCUGCCGAUCAGCUGUGAAGUCUCUUUGAAGAUUAAUUUUUAAAAAAGCACACUCAAGCAGCUCCCAUGAGGUUUCAGAGCAAAAAGGGGUGGUGUUUGACUACUGUUGUGUGCCCCAAUUUUCUGAAGAGAGAGGUGGAGACACAGCAGAACCGGCAGAACAAAAGUGCUUGAUGCUUGGCAAUCAGCGUGGGAAGAGUGAAACUGAUGGAUAACACCUAGAAGAGUUAUGCUGAUAUGGAUUAUUCACCAAGCAAGAGAUGAAUUGAUUUCAUAAAGGAAGCCACAGACUUGAACUUACAAGAUCUGAACAGAGUGGUUCAUGACAGAUGCUCUUGGAGGUCACUGAUUCGUAGGGUCGCCAUAAGUCGUCAUCGACUUGAAGGCACAUAACGACAAAACUUUUACAAGUAUAAUCCUGCAAACAGGGUUUUCCCAGGAAGAAUGAUGCCUAUUCCACACAUCGCCAUGUUACAGCCAUACCAUGCUCUUGAGCAUACUGAAGAGGUUUCCUUUACUGCAUGGUUUUGUGCAGUUUAAUGGCAAAAUGUGCUUGCUUAAUAGGUCUUGAUGGCUAGUUACUACCUUAGUAAGAUCCGUUUCUGAAAACUCAAGUACUGUUCAAUUCAAUAUAAGAAAAGUAAACAGUACAGUUUGUCCCCUUAUUAAAAGAAAAAAAGAAAGGCAAUGAAGAGGAAAAUCUGGAACAUAUUUCUAUAGAGGAGGGAAGAUAAUUUUACAUAGAGAGCAGUGCUCUGCUCUGUACUGUUCCUCCAUUAGUUAUAGGCCUAAAGUAUUUCUACAGUCACCAUAGGAGGAUAUAUGGUACAAACUGUCUGCAUCUGAUGCUGCCUAAGUUUCGGAUGAAAUCUCCAAAAUGCAUCCCUGGAUCUACUAUUUCCAGAUGCUAUCAAUCACUUUAAUUAAUGGCUAAGUCUAUUCAUCUGUUUAAAAAAAUUACAUGAACCAGUUGAAGCUUUGACUAAUGUCAUUGACCUCCCAAAGUGUGGACGUGUACACUCCCUCAAAUUACACAAAGAAAAAAAAAGUCACAAAGGGGGAAAUGAAUUUCUAGAAGUCUAUGUUAGUCUUCAUUUGAUUCCCUGUAAUAUCUCUCCUUCAAUGUCACAAGCUUAUUUUAAUUCUGUGGUAAAUAGCCCUGCUAUUCUGAAGCCACAUGGUAUGCACAGAGAAAUAGCAGAACUCUCUCUUUUAAAAGCCAGCACAAAAAUAAAAUGAAAACUUUGGGAAUUAUUUCUGUCUGAGAGGCACCCACAGAGAUGUCCUUAUGGUUGUGUGAUUUUUUUAAAAAUCCAUGAGGGCAAUUCUGUUAACAGCUUUACCUUGAGGCAUUAAAAGACAUUUGGUAAACAAACACCACUGGAGGAAAAGCUACCACUGUGUUUAAGGGGAACUGAAAGAGCUCUGCAGAUAGUGAAAUGUCCUGGCUGUUAACAACUUUCCAUUGAAAUGAGAAAAAAAGCAAUAUAAGAUAGCUUGGACUCUUUGAAUCGUUUUUCUAGACAAUAGCACGUUGCCUUUGUGCAUUUAGAGCCCAAUAAAUGGAAAGCAUUAUACCUUUAAUUACCUUUAUUUAAAACAUUUGCUGACAAUGAAUGUUGUUAUUAAGGUGUUUUUUUCUGGCCUCUUGCUAUGCAACCAGAAAUAACAGACAUUCCACAUCUGUUCAGUGAAUUUUUUCACUAAAUAAUGCAGGGAUGAGGAACUUUUGGCCCUCCAGAAGUUGCUGAACUACAGCUUUCCAUCAGCCCCAGCACAGAGCUGGCCAUAGAAUAAAUAGCACGCUGGGCAAGGAGUGCCUUUGGUGCCCUCCCCCCAGUGGUCAUCUUACAUGGCCACCCAGAGGGUUUCUGGGGCCUGGUGCAGGUGUGAUGUUGGGGGCCCUGCUGCUGCCCCCUACAAGAACCCAUGCAUGUGCAUACAAAGCUGGGGGCCACAUGCAUUCACAGACUACAUGUGAGAAUUCUUGUCUGCAGCUCCUCCUUGCCCUGGGAACAAGCAGAAUGAUAAAUGUGCUUCAUUUUUCUUACAUAGGGUUAAGGUAAUAGGGAUUGGGUUGUGCACCUCCUUCAAGUUCCAAACCCCUUCUGGCAGAGUUUAUUUUUCCUUCCUGGGGCUCAGUCUCACAUAGGGUUGCCAGGUUCUUGGCUGAGACUGAUCCUGUAUCUUUAGGCGAAGAGAAGGUCAGCCAAGUGCAGGUCUUCUUGCAACUCUGUAAUGAGAAAAAAUACAAGGUGGAAUUCUCCCGUCCCCCUGCCAACAAACUAUUAUAUGGGGUCUAUGUAUUUUUACAUCUCCAGUAUGUGUGUGUAUAUGGAGUCUUUCAAACAACCCUGUGAGGUAGGGUUGCAGACUGGAAACCAAGGCAGCUCACAAUAAGAAAUAAAUCCCUUUAAAAUCGAAUAACCAUAAAAACAAGUAUAAACAAUUGCAAAACAGCUUAAAGUGGCAUGAUUCUGAAUUUUCGGUUGGGUGAAUGAAGUUCCUUAUCCUUAUUAUGCUGGUUCCUGACCGUAAUAAAUUAUAUUCAUUCAUUCAUUCAUUCUUAUCACUUGAGGCUGCAGCUCUGUGCACGCUUCCCUGUUUGAGUAAGCCUCAC